UCUGCUCAAAGGGCUGAAGUUAUGGCUGU
rnacentral:piRNA from 1 species